AGUGAACGCUGGCGGCGUGCUUAACACAUGCAAGUCGAACGAGAACGGAUUAUAGCUUGCUAUAAUUGUCAGCUAAGUGGCGCACGGGUGAGUAAUGUGUAGGUAAUAUGCCUCUUACUAAGGGAUAACAAUUGGAAACGAUUGCUAAUACCUUAUAUUCCUUUUUAUCAAAAGAUAAAAAGGGAAAGAUUUAUUGGUAAGAGAUUAGCCUGUAUUGUAUCAGUUAGUUGGUGGGGUAAUGGCCUACCAAGACGAUGGCGCAUAACUGGUUUGAGAGGAUGAUCAGUCACACUGGAACUGAGACACGGUCCAGACUCCUACGGGAGGCAGCAGUGGGGAAUAUUGCACAAUGGACGAAAGUCUGAUGCAGCAACGCCACGUGGAGGAUGACACAUUUCGGUGCGUAAACUCCUUUUAUAUAAGAAGAUAAUGACGGUAUUAUAUGAAUAAGCACCGGCUAACUCCGUGCCAGCAGCCGCAGUAA
rnacentral:rRNA from 1 species